GCAGCCGGGGGAGAGGAUGGUGGUCAUGAACAACGGGAGAGGAAAACAAAUGAAAAGGCUACAAGCUCUUGGGGAUCAGGGUGGGGGCCUCCAUUCAGGGCACCCAGCUGCAUGCACACACGGCAGAGGUGAAUACCAGGAAAGCGGAAAAGAGAAAGUGGGGCUGAGGAGCUCCUGCUGAGGCUCUCUAUGUGAGUACUUCCCAUGUACA